rnacentral:sRNA from 1 species
GCUGGGCAUGGUGGUGCACACCUGUAAUCCUAGUGGCUUGGGAGGCUGAGGCAGGAGGAUUGCAAGUUCAAAGGCAGCCUCAACAACUUAGCAAGGUCCUAAGCAAUUUGGUGAGACCCUGUCUCUA